UGGUGGAGUGAUUUGUCUGGUUAAUUCCGUUAACGAACGAGACCUCAGCCUGCUAAAUAGCUGGACGAACUUUUGUUCGUGACAGCUUCUUAGAGGGACAAUCGGUUCUGAGCCGAAGGAAGUUUGAGGCAAUAACA
rnacentral:rRNA from 1 species